ACGGAGGGGGCUAGCGUUGUUCGGAAUUACUGGGCGUAAAGCGCACGUAGGCGGCUUGAAAAGUUGGGGGUGAAAGCCCGGAGCUCAACUCCGGAAUUGCCUUCAAAACUCUUAAGCUAGAGUUCGGAAGAGGAGAGUGGAAUUCCCAGUGUAGAGGUGAAAUUCGUAGAUAUUGGGAAGAACACCAGUGGCGAAGGCGGCUCUCUGGUCCGAUACUGACGCUGAGGUGCGAAAGCGUGGGGAGCAAACAGG
rnacentral:rRNA from 1 species